AGAAGGAAAAGAGAGGUGAGAAGAGACAGUGGAAUGGCAGCACCUCAUUCCAGGAAAGAAAAUUGACCCUCUCUCGGUCUGUCGUCCCCACUGUAGACCCCCGACCACUACUAGACGAACCUGCGUGGGUUCGUUUAUGUAUCUUCAGCUUUUCAGAUCUCACAUCCAGGUCAGACCUGUUUACUUUAGUCUGUAUCUCCGAAGUUCAAGUGUAUAUGUGACUACCCUUCAAUGAUUGACAGUCAGCGACCUUCACACGUAUAGAUGGAUUUAGCUGUCCAGUUUUCCAGAGGAACUGGACCAAAAAGGCAUUGAAAUUCUAUCCCCGGCCUUUGAUCCAGAAGCCUCCCAUCCCCUCGUUCUGAUUUUGCUCCCGAAACGCUAUUGAACGUCCUCUACGAAUGGAAAGACGGUGAAACAGAAACACACUUGAGGCCUUCUGGAAAUCAGAGGUCAUUUGCCCCGGUUUGCCCAGACAACAGAGCACGUGCUGGAUAUAAUUAUCUGAUUGUAACCAUCCAGAAACGCGGACUCAACUGGCCAGGUAUACCAGAAGCAAGCAACUUUGCAAGAUUCACCACUGCAAUGGGCCGAUAACGCCUUGAAAGGGACAAGUUGGGAAAACUUGGCUGACACCCUUGAAUGAGCAAGUUUUUCCUUUCCCUCCCCCAUAUCCCCCUUGCAAACCCCCCAUUGUCGGGGACUCUGGGAUUCCAAGGACAUUGGAAAUGGACCAUCAGAAACACAUCCGAGAGCAGGUUAUUGCACUGGCCGGAACAUUCGCUCAUUUCCCCCUCAAAAAGAGCCCCCAGACCACUCUCUCAGGCCAAUCUCUAGGAAAUACAAACUUACACAAACACCUAACAACGACCAAGAGGGGAAAAGAGAAAAAGAAAUAAAAGAAAAGAAGAGAAGAUAAAAGAAACGAAAAGAAAAGAGAGGGGGGGAAGAAACCCUCCCUUGUUGUAAACCUGACUCCCGGGAAUUCAUUUGCAUGAUUUAGGCAUAUUUGUUCUUCUCUGAAAAAUCCCCUCGGAAAUGAAACCUAUCUCUUCUCCAUCUACACCCAGCAAUCGAAGAGUACAUUUUGUGCAGCGAGAGUUUUAGAUGCAAUAAUUUAAGGCAGCAGUGGACUCACCUUCCAACUUUGUGACUGUUCUUGAUAGAUGUGGAGGGUGAAUUUUGAUUGGUUUGAUGGAAGAUGGUGUUACGACUGGGGGAGAUUUUAUAUCGGUGGGCUUUUUUUUUCCCCCUGCAAACUCUAAAAUAAAGAAUGUGAAGUCUUUCCCGGGGCUGAUUGGGGGGCAGGAUGUGAAAGGGCUGCAGUUAUAAAGCGCUGCUUGAAGCGGUCUCUCAAUGCGUCUCUGAACUUGAUCAGAUUUUAUGUUUCCUGCAGAGAGACGGCGGCAAUCCUGUGAGCCCGGCUCAAUGGACAGACUUUGGGGCUCAGCAAAUCUCAGGAUAUUACAAUUACAGCCAUCUUUCUUUCGGCCUUUUAUUUCCACUCUUGCUCCCCAUCGUUCUUUGCAAAUGCUUUCCAGGACAGAAAAUGAGUGGAUUUAUAGCGCUGUCUGAAUCUGAUCAUUAUUCCAAGAAAGACGUUAGAAUUGCAAGGAGAAGAAAAAAAAACCCCACCCUUUAAAAUAUAUUCUAAAAAUUAAACAUACAGAUGGGAAUUCUGCUCUGUACUUAUGAAA